CACUUCCAGAAAAUGCCUCACCAAGUUUUGUUUCACUGCAGAUAGAGAAGAUGUGUUUACCUCUUUUUUUUCAGCAGUAUUAGCUUUAUUCGGUCCUGCUGAACUGAAGCAAGACAGUUUUGCGUUUCACUAGUAUGCAGAAGAGAAAGUUCUGACCUUACAGGCAUAAAAUUAAAAGUAAAAUAAGAGCAAGUACUGAUCUUAUUGUCAUCCUAAAUCAGGAUCUAAAAUGAAAGCAGAAAUAGUAUUUGAAAAGUGCAUGUAGCAGAAUGGAAGUGAAGAUUAUAAUCUGAUUUAAAGGUUCCUUGCCUAUCAAAAUACAAACUUUCAGGCAGCCUACAGUACAGAAAGAAAACAUUCCUCAUUAUAUUAAUAUUAACUUGCUAGUAUGCAAAAUAAGUCUACAUGAACUCUGAAUUACACCUACAUUUUGAUCUUUCCGGAAAAGUUAUACCUGGUUUUCUUUUCUGCUGGUAAACUGCCUGAAAGCAAAUAAUGCAAGUAACGUGUCCACCUGUUCUACUGUGAGAACUCUCAUCUAUUUGGGUCCCACCUAAAAAGGAAGGGGAAUUUAGGAACAUGGAAACUUCUGGAAAGGACCAUAUUGUUUUUCCACACUGCUGAGGACUUCUGAGAUAGAAAACCAUCUGCAAGUUUGCUUACAGAUCAACCCCUUGUGAAGCCCAGAAAUCCCAUCUGUGUUUUUGAUAACAUUCUGGAACAAGUUCAGUGGCGAUCUUAAGAUCCAUAUGGAUCUUAUUAUAGUCUUUCUUGCUAUGGGACUCUGUGAAUUGAGGUUUGUGCCCAGUGCACCGUGCCAAUAAGCACACAGAGUUGGAAUCCACACAAAAGUCUUCUUCGAGGCUUCAUCUUCAAGGCUUCAUCUUCAGUGGCUGUCCAUCUCUUUCCUGCAUUAACCAGUCUGUACACCAGUCUGAUGAUGGUACCUUGGCAGAGACUUCUUUGACCAUGUUAUAUCUUGACCAUGUAUAUCCUGGUUUGGUGUAUGGCUCUUUGAACACUUUCAUGCCAUGAUGCCUUUUUUGGUUCAGUAAUCUGAAUCAGCAGACAAAACAAGUUCCUGCUACUGGGCUUCCUGCAGUCUUGAACAGCACACUUCCAUCUUCUGUCUGUUCAGCAUUUGCCUAUGAUGGAUGGUGUGAUUCAAAGUCUUCCAUAAAUUCUGGUGGCAAAGCACCAGACACAAUAAAAAUUGCUGAAUUUUACUGAUCUUCACCCUGGAAUGGCUCCUUUUCAGUUCUUUUCUCAUGUUAGCACUUCAGACUUGUACACACCUUAACAGAGUGAAACACAACCACAUUGGCUGUAAUGAAAGGAAAAGCUGGCUGCAACCCCAAACCUUCUUUGAUGAUUAAGAAACUUGUGCAAGAGAACAUACCCACUUUCCUUGGGCCUCUCUAAAUGCUGUUAAGUGAAAACCUGAAAACCCAGUACCACAAUGCAGAGGCCAGAGUCUGCUGUCUUCAUGCUGAGAUCAUCGGAGUGCUGAACCAAGAGGACGAAACAUCCCAGCUUGCAGUGUGAUACAUCCAUUGUCAGAUGUGAUUGCAAAUUUUACUCAUGUCAGCUGAGUUGCUGAACUACACAUCCAUACCACCCUUGCAGAGGAAGAAUGAAAAAGAAAUGCAUCCUGAAGCUACAAAACAGG